rnacentral:rRNA from 1 species
UACAGAGGGUGCGAGCGUUAAUCGGAAUUACUGGGCGUAAAGCGCGCGUAGGCGGCUUUGCAAGUCGAUUGUGAAAUCCCCAGGCUUAACCUGGGAACUGCAUUCGAGACUGCAUAGCUAGAGUAUGGGAGAGGGAAGUGGAAUUUCAGGUGUAGCGGUGAAAUGCGUAGAUAUCAGAAGGAACAUCAGUGGCGAAAGCGACUUCCUGGACCAAUACUGACGCUCAUGUGCGAAAGCGUGGGGAGCAAACAGG